UACGUAGGGGGCAAGCGUUGUCCGGAUUUAUUGGGCGUAAAGAGCGUGUAGGCGGCCAGGUAGGUCCGUUGUGAAAACUCGAGGCUCAACCUCGAGACGCCGAUGGAAACCAUCUGGCUAGAGUCCGGAAGAGGAGAGUGGAAUUCCCGGUGUAGCGGCGAAAUGCGCAGAUAUCGGGAAGAACACCCGUGGCGAAGGCGGCUCUCUGGGACGGUACUGACGCUGAGACGCGAAAGCGUGGGGAGCGAACAGG
rnacentral:rRNA from 1 species